GACAGAGGGUGCAAGCGUUGUUCGGAAUCACUGGGCUUAAAGGGCGCGUAGGCGGGCUCACAAGUCAGGGGUGAAAUCCCACGGCUCAACCGUGGAAGUGCCUUUGAUACUGUGGGUCUUGAGGGAGGUAGGGGCGUGCGGAACUUCCGGUGGAGCGGUGAAAUGCGUAGAUAUCGGAAGGAACACCGGUGGCGAAAGCGGCGCGCUGGACCUCUACUGACGCUGAGGCGCGAAAGCCAGGGGAGCAAACGGG
rnacentral:rRNA from 1 species